AUUACAGGGUUGUUUAAGUCCCAACAAUUCACUCUUUGCAAUGUUAUUCACUAAACUGUGGAUUGUGGGGAAUUCAAAGCUUGCAGCAAUUGGAGGCUCUGUUCUUUGAAUGGGGGCAGGUGUUUUUUGUGUAUGUGGAGAAGGCUGAGCUGGGGGGAGGGAGUGUGGUGGCUGAAUUGUGUGUGUGGAGUGAGCCUAGUGUUGCGUGUGGAUUG